rnacentral:rRNA from 1 species
CCUACGGGCGGCAGCAGUGAGGAAUAUUGCACAAUGGGGGAAACCCUGAUGCAGCGAUGCCGCGUGGAGGAAGAAGGUUUUCGGAUUGUAAACUCCUUUUAUCAGGGACGAUAAUGACGGUACCUGAAGAAAAAGCUCCGGCUAACUACGUGCCAGCAGCCGCGGUAAUACGGAAGGUCCGGGCGUUAUCCGGAUUUAUUGGGUUUAAAGGGAGCGUAGGCCGCAUGUCAAGCGUGCUGUGAAAUGUCCGGGCUCAACCCGGGCCUUGCAGCGCGAACUGGCGUGCUUGAGUCCGCGGAAAGCAGGCGGAAUUCGUCGUGUAGCGGUGAAAUGCUUAGAUAUGACGAAGAACCCCGAUUGCGAAGGCAGCUUGCUGCAGCGGAACUGACGCUGAUGCUCGAAAGCGCGGGUAUCGAACAGGAUUAGAUACCCUUGUAGUC